AUUGAACGCUGGCGGCAUGCCUUACACAUGCAAGUCGAACGGCAGCACGGGGCAACCUGGUGGCGAGUGGCGAACGGGUGAGUAAUGCAUCGGAACGUGCCAUUGAGUGGGGGAUAACGUAGCGAAAGUUGCGCUAAUACCGCAUAUUCUGUGAGCAGGAAAGCAGGGGGACCGCAAGGCCUUGCGCUCUUUGAGCGGCCGAUGUCAGAUUAGCUAGUUGGUGAGGUAAAGGCUUACCAAGGCGACGAUCUGUAGCGGGUCUGAGAGGAUGAUCCGCCACACUGGAACUGAGACACGGUCCAGACUCCUACGGGAGGCAGCAGUGGGGAAUUUUGGACAAUGGGCGCAAGCCUGAUCCAGCCAUGCCGCGUGAGUGAAGAAGGCC
rnacentral:rRNA from 1 species